rnacentral:rRNA from 1 species
GACGAACGCUGGCGGCGUGCCUAAUACAUGCAAGUAGAACGCUGAAGCUUGGUGCUUGCACCGAGCGGAUGAGUUGCGAACGGGUGAGUAACGCGUAGGUAACCUGCCUCUUAGCGGGGGAUAACUAUUGGAAACGAUAGCUAAUACCGCAUAAAAGUCGACAUUGCAUGAUGUUGACUUGAAAGGUGCAAUUGCAUCACUAAGAGAUGGACCUGCGUUGUAUUAGCUAGUUGGUGAGGUAACGGCUCACCAAGGCGACGAUACAUAGCCGACCUGAGAGGGUGAUCGGCCACACUGGGACUGAGACACGGCCCAGACUCCUACGGGAGGCAGCAGUAGGGAAUCUUCGGCAAUGGACGGAAGUCUGACCGAGCAACGCCGCGUGAGUGAAGAAGGUUUUCGGAUCGUAAAUGCUCUGUUGUAAUGAGAUAGAACGAUGUGUGAUGAUGUGGAAAUGUUCACACUGUG